GGAAUAUUGGACAAUGGGCGAAAGCCUGAUCCAGCCAUGCCGCGUGUGUGAAGAAGGUCUUCGGAUUGUAAAGCACUUUAAGUUGGGAGGAAGGGUUGUAGAUUAAUACUCUGCAAUUUUGACGUUACCGACAGAAUAAGCACCGGCUAACUCUGUGCCAGCAGCCGCGGUAAUACAGAGGGUGCAAGCGUUAAUCGGAAUUACUGGGCGUAAAGCGCGCGUAGGUGGUUUGUUAAGUUGGAUGUGAAAUCCCCGGGCUCAACCUGGGAACUGCAUCCAAAACUGGCAAGCUAGAGUAUGGUAGAGGGUGGUGGAAUUUCCUGUGUAGCGGUGAAAUGCGUAGAUAUAGGAAGGAACACCAGUGGCGAAGGCGACCACCUGGACUGAUACUGACACUGAGGUGCGAAAGCGUGGGGAGCAAACAGGAUUAGAUACCCUAG
rnacentral:rRNA from 1 species